rnacentral:misc_RNA from 1 species
CAAGACCACCAUACGCACACAAGCAACAACCAACCCCCAGCAAACAGCUCGGCCACAAUCGCGCGUGGUUAUACAGGCCCCCAUCACGCCUUUUUUGUCGGCACACCCUUCGAAUUGACAGCCCGUCCUCGGCGUCACCCGCGAAGCUUCCGCACAGCCAUCGAACGCCUUCUCCCCACAACGGAGGGUAAUAUUAUAUAUAUAUAUAUAUGUAUACAAGGGAACGUACGUAGUAAACAUACACGUUGCCGCCACAGACCAAAGACGCAAGAGAAACGGCGAACUGCGUUCACGUGGCCACGUACCCGGCCAGAAACGCCCCUCCCCCUCCCUUCUCCUCCCCUCCUUGCCUCCUCUCUCCUCUCCCCUCUUCCCCCCUCCCUCACCCUCCUCUCCAUCUCCUCACAUAGAGAAACUUCUCCCUCUCCAUUGUUCUUUUUCGGCGCUUCGUUCUUCGUAUUUAAGUGUGUUCUGUGCGUGCGUGUGUGUGCGUGUGGUUUCUUCGGUUUGCGUUUUCCGCUUUCGCUCUGCUGAGUAUGGGAAAGGGGGGGGGCUGUUCCGGAGUCAGCGCUCGAGCCAGGAAAAAAAGGUCAUUAAUAAACGACGUGCAUUUGUUUUUUUUCCGUGUGUGUUGGCUGGUUGGUUGGCGUGUGUGUGCUUAAAGGUGGGGAGGGCCAGGCGUUUCUUUUUGUUUGUCUCUUCUCCUCUGGUUCUCACACCCCCUCCCCUUCCCUUUUCUUUGCUCUCCCUCUGCACGUCGGCGUGUGUGUGUGUCUUUCGCCUUUUCUGAAGUUGCUCGUUCUCUUGCCUCAUCUCCUAGCGCUUCUUCGCCGUUGCAGCUGCCCCGUUUACUCGCCGACCCCCUCCCUCCCUCCCUUCCUUCCCCGACUCAUACACACUUCUUUGGCUAGCUCUGCUUGCCGUAUCUUCUCUCCUUUAGUUUUUUUUUUGAGGGAGUGUCUCGUUUCACUGCUUACAGGAUUUUCUGUCGUUGUUUAUCCACCGCAACUUGGAUCGGUUUUCUUUUUGCGUUUGUGCGUGUGUGUGUUCCCUCUCCCCCUCACCGUUUAUAGCCAGCAGCUUCUACUCAUUCAUACAUUGGCCCCCCCUAUCUCUAUCCUCCCCUCUCUUCUCCACUCUCGGUGCCGUCCUCACGCUCGACGCAUCUGCAACGCUCCCCGGUCCCUCUGCCUCACCGCUCUCUCGCGCAUAUACAAUAUUCAAAUUAAUAUCUGAGCAAGGGCAAGGACAGCAUAACGCUACGUAAACCUCCCCGACAGCGUAAGUCCGACAAGACGCCAAGAGCACGGACGCUGGCACGCCCGCAUGUACCUGUGUUUCUGUUUCCUUGUUCAUUAUUAUUGAAUGCUUUUCUUUUUCGAAGUCAACUCAUCUUUGCUUCAGCGUGUGUGCCUGACGUUUGUGAGUGCUCUGGCUCGCCGUCCUCGUCUUCCAUCCUUGCUUCGGCUUGCCCGCUCUUUCCCAUACGCACAGGCUCGCCCCACCCCCUUCCACACACACUUCCUUUCCUCUCUCCCGAUAGUCACUCGUUCAAUAUUCUGCUCAUCGCCUGACCGGUAGCCCCGCUCCAUUUUUUGUUUUCUCUCGGAGGACAAUCUUGCUCUUCUCUUGCUUCCAGGAGAUCUGUUCCUCUUUCUCUCUCCACUUCCUGCCUUUCCGCUUGCGGCGUCGCUCCAGCUGCGAGGCUUGGACCAUCACCGACGCGCACUCCCACUACUAUCCCUUCCGAGACAAGGCACAUUCUAUCAGGCGCUUGACCGGCGAAGCGAAUCCGUGCUACCCAACACCCGACUAUCGCCGCUGAUAAAAUGGCCAAAACAGCGCUUCUCGUGGGCGCUCUGCUCGCCCUCGUCAUGUGCCUGGCGGCGACGGCCGUCUCGGCGCAGCGGUCGCUGGAGUGUCAAAUGGUGUGGCAAGGUCCUUCCUCUAACAACAGCCUGCUGGAGUGCCUGGGGAACACGGAUCGCAUCCGGUCCCAGUGGCCCUACUACCUGUAUCCCGCCUUCGCUGCGCUCGUGUUCAUCUUCACGGUGAUUGGGCUGCCGAUUCUGUUCUGCUGCCACUGCUGCAGCUGCUGCGAGGCGUAUGUGAAGCCGAAGGCGGAGACGGACCUCGGCGUUGCCCGCUGCUGCCUAUGGAUGUGGAUCGUGAUUUCGGUGCUUGUGGCGUGCGGCGUGUGCGUGCUGCUGGUGUAUGGCUCCGUCUUACUGGAGCAGGCAGCCAAACAAAUUAUCCACGACACCGAGUAUCGCACGCUUGAUUACUUCAACGACACCCGUGCGAACAUCGCGAUGCUGCUGACAAACUACAGCGCGGACCCACCGACACCACCGUCAAUCGACCUUAGCGCCUUUGACGCCGUGAACGAUAAUGUUACCUACUACGUGCACCUGGCGCGCAACAACUACCUCAAGUACUUCCGCGCUGCCGAGAUUGUGGUCUGCUGCGUCGGCAGCGUCGGUGUUUUCCUGAUGCUGUGCAUGCUGAUCUUUGCGCUGUGCCGUUGCAGUGGGAUCUGCCCGAUUGUGUGGAGCUGCCUGUACUUCGUGUUCGCGCUUGCAUUUGCGUUGCUUGCGGUGCUGUUCACGAUAUGCAUCUACGUGAUGUCCGCCGGCUGCGGCGAGGUGGACCUCCAGUACAGCCGUGAGCCUGGCGUCUUUCAGUGGUACCUGGUGCCGUGGUGCGAGAAGCAGUUCGACUUCCAGGCGCUGCGGGCUCAGGUGCAGAGCCAGGAGCAGCAGGUCUCGCAGAGCGCCUGCGGGGCGCUCUUGAACUUCUGUGACAACGAUCCGAAUUACUCGUUGGAGAAUAAAAACCACAUCUUCAUGUGCGGCAACAGCAUCACCGACAAAAGCCACUGCAACUCGCUGGACGACGUGGUGGACGUUGUUCUGAGCACAUACGUGAAGCCGAUGCUGACGAACACGCUAUGUGCCAACCAGACGGGCAUGGAGUACCUGGAGAAGUGUACGUUGAUCUCCUGCGCAUCGCGGUGUGUGGACUACCAAUUCCCGCCCCUGCAUGCCAGGACAGAAGCCAUUCAAAUUCUGCAGGCUGCCAACUUUGCUGCGAAUGCGAGCACUGCGCUGUCAUACGUGUGGCCGCUGCUGGAGUGCAACUUCAUCAUUGGCAAGAUUGCCAACACAGUCGAGACGCGGAACUACAACAGCAGCUUCACCACGCAGAGCGAUUAUGUGCGCAGCUGCUCUGCGGUCCGCGUAUCCUCGGUGAUGCUGGGUACCGGUUUCUUUGUCGGGGCGCUCAUGUUCAUCCUCGGCAUUCACGUCAUGCAUCGCGGUGCGUUUAUCUGGGCUGCCGGCAAGGAGAAUGAUGCGGUGCAGAAGAAGGACGUUUCACCACCUGGCAAUGCCGUCUCGUCACCCCUGAGAACACCUUAAAAAGGAUGGGACCACCCCGUGCGCCUGUAAAGGCUGACCACACAAGACGGAAUCAGGCAAGGAACGGUUAAAUGAGGGGCCGCAAAGGUGUUUCAUGCACACUUUUUUCAGUGUGCAACGCUUCGUGCUGCUCGGUGAAUGCAGGGAUACCUCAGUGCCUGGCUUCAGGUCCGAGCACGCACUCUGUGCGAAAGGCCCAUGGCCUGCCGCCGCGCCCUCGGGCACGGCUGGCGGACUCUUGACGUGGGCGGGAGGAGUCGUGGGCGUAGCCUGCGCUGCAUGCAGUGAGGUAGCCAUGACGCUGAGCAGCGCCCCACGGUGCUGGCCGGCUCGGUUUUGUGGCGCAUCGUCGCUGCAAGCCCGUGCUGUGCAGGGGGCGCGUCACCCCCGCAGGCCUGUAAGGCCUUUGGUCUCCCUCGCUCUCAUCAUUGCGGCGCAGCAAGAGACGACGGGCACGCCGGUGGCGUCUCGGUGCUCCUCCAGCGGGGCGUACGCACAGGUGCAGGCCCGAGGACCCACAAGUGCGAGCGCUGUGUGCACGCGCUGCCAGCCACCGCUGGCGUGGUGUGUCGCAUCCACGCAGGGCGGCACGCGGAGGUCCGCAGAGCAACGGUGAGGCGCGGAGAAUGCGUUAGAGGAUCCAGACGAAUCAACUGCCCACGCAGGGCACGCGUGCGAAACAUGUGCGGCAUCUCCCACCUCCGACCGUGCGGGCUGACGCGGCGCCGAUGCGGGAAGCACGACGAGAGCCCCUGAACUCGCGCCAUCGAGUCUUCCAGACUGGAGUGUGGAGAGUCACUGCACGAUCUUGUGGAAUGCCGCGGCUUGAGGCGACGGAGAUUGCGCAACACGACACACACACACACAAACACACAGGUCGGGUGUAGAGGGUCUCAGCGGGCCCUAGCCUACAGCUGGCCAACGUCCUGCUUGAGGUUAUCCGGCAUGCAGGUGGGCCAGCCCCCCUCCCCCACCCCCUAUUACCCGCACGGCAGACGCCACCGCUUCCGCCCUCGAGUAAGGACCCGGACGCAGCCGUGGGGAGGGCGCGGGGGGCGGUGCAGCGGAGGCGGGUGAGCAGUGGCUGCAUCUGCGUCUGUGUUGCUGGCAUGUGUUCGUGGGCGGGAUCGGGGCACGCUGCAGUAACGAGAGGAAAGCGCCAAAAGAACGAAUAUGUUUGGAUGGCAUUUGCCCUGGUGGUGGUGGUAUACGUGUCAUGUACAGAGGUGCUGUUCGCUAUUUCAUUAUCUCCUGCUCGUGCUUUUUUUUUCGUUCUAUCCUGUUAGCACCGACUCAACCGCUCACCCGUACACGCACAGCUCCUUGCGCGUUACACCGUCCCUCGUUCCCCCCCCCCCGCUCUCCUAGUACCCACGGUAUUGUUAUCAUUACGAAUAGUUUUUUUUUUCUUGUGUGACGCGUGUUUCCUCCUCUUGUGUUCUUCCUGUUGAGGAAGGAUGACGGGAGGAAAGGAGGCAGGCCAUUCGUGUGGACACACACAUAUAUCUACUGGUAUAUGCAAAUGUCGAUGUAGAGGACACCACAGGCCUUCCGCUCUAACCGCAGGGCCCUCUGCCCUCCUGUGCGCACACAAGUGGUUAUGUAAAGGGGGCUGAACGCGCGCGCGUAGAGAUGCGCCCAUACGAUACGCACAUAGGAGCUGAUGGGGUAGGGUGGCCGAUAAAAUCAUGCGCAGUGCCCGAGCUUCCUUUUUCUUUCUUUUGGAAGUGUCUUUUUAUCCUCGGUCAAGGUCGGAUGUUUCCCCCUCCCCCCUCCCCUCCCCUCCCUCUACCCUUUUCCUUCCCCUCUCUGCUGUUCCUCAGAAGUGGCUGAUGUGUUUUCUUUCGUGCUAUGGAGCUUGCGCAGCUCCAAUAUCCUCUUUCCUCUUGUGUGUUCUCGUUUCCUGACUCUACGUGGCGGCUACACAGGCUGAUAAAGCCUUCCCCCUCCGCCACUCCCCACUCCCACCACGACCGAUGGUGCUCCUAAAGGACGGCGAACGCACCAAUGCGGGCAGGAGGCAGUAACGGGAGACCGUCGCGACGGGAAAGAAACUCAUCGCGGACGCCUUCGAAAGGCGGAGUGUUGGGCCUUUUUUGCUUUGGCGCUUUUUCUCUCUUUUUCGCUUGUUCGUUUCGCCGUCUGCCACAGCAGAGCGCUGAAAGCAGACUUGUGAACCGCUUCGACAACUUCCCCACACAGCCCCCCCCUUCCCCCUUUUCCCCACAUACACGCACACACAGACACACCAGUACCUGUGCUCGCCUCCCCUUUCCCCCUUCCCUGCCUCCACCCGCUUUCUUUAGUGUCUCUCUCCCUCGCUUUUUUUUUCGUCUGGCGCAUCCAGCUGCCAUGUGGCUGCAUGAUGUGGGUGCUGGGUGAAGUGACGGGGAUGGAAAAAGCGCUCCUGUCCUUGUGCGCAUGCUCCUGCUACACCUAUGGCCCCACCUCCGCCGCCCGAAGGUCGCCUCGCAGUAACCGCAUUCUUUCACAUGUAAUCCCUUCUCUCCCUCCUUUUAUGCGUCGUGUGCUCCAUGUGCAUACCCUGUGUCUCUGCACCCCCCCCCUCUUCCUCUUUCACAGCGAGAAACUGAAAAGGGUAGUAAGAGGAGGAGGGGAGGGGGGCGGCGGAGGAGUCACGUGCGUGAGUGCAAGGAUGGGUGGGGGCCGUGCCUCGGUGGCUCUGCGCCGACACAGUGUACCCUGUCCUUCUUUUUUGUCGUGUCUUCUGUUUUCUCUCUACCUCCCCCGCUGCAUUCUCGCGCACCCGCCACUCGUUCACCGUCUCGGGCUUUUGCGUUGUGUGUUUGCCUGUUGGAAGUGUGAAAGCAUGCAUCAUGGCAGGGCAGCGUUAAGGGAAGGGGGAAGGGAUGGGAAAUAGAGGAGGGGGGGCUGCACAGGUGUGCAGCGGCGAAAGAUGGGGAGCAGGGUGCCCCUUAAGGGGGGCCGCCAUGGCACCUCACUCCCCUCCCCUCCUCACUCAUCUCUGUUGUGAUGCGUUUUGCCUUUACUUUUUUUCGUCAGUGUUCUUGUCCUUCACCUUUCCAAGACGUGGGUGGAGAGAAAUCGUAUCGCUCAUCGGCGCGGUUUCACCUCACCCCUUUCCGUUCUGCGUUCUUGCAUGCGCGUGCGUGCGCCUGGGUAUAGAUGAUGAGGCGAUGCCACGUAGCGACAAGAUGAAAAAGCACGGUCGAUGAGGCACAAACGCACAUACAAACACACCGGCGUACAGAGGAAGGUCAUAUGGGUGAGAGGGAGACGAGAGGAAAGGGUAAGCAACUUAUUUUCAGGCACUUCGCCGCAGUGGUAGUGUAAAAAAAAAGGAAAAAUGUUAACCAGUGCACUGCAGGAAAGACUAUGAAGCAGACAGUUGUAUCUGCGCCGUAGACGGAACCAAGGAAAAAGAAAGAAACACAAGGAACAGUGCGGCGAGCGGUGGCACGUGGCGCAGUGCAUCUUUUCGUCCAGCAGCGGCGCAUCCACAGAGGGACAUGCCGCAACAUGGACACGGAAUGGCGAUGCCUCGAGAGUGUGCGCGCGCCCGCUUUGCUGCGGCUGGUGGUACAGGGAGAGGGUGCCCCGACGAGCCGCAGCGUGCACCGCCUCUCGCUGCGCACUUUUUUUUUUCUUGCUCUCUUCCUGCGGUUUCGGACAGCGGGUAGCUGGACCAAGGGAAAAAGAGAGGCGAAGUCGAAAGGCGGCCGCGCUGACCCUUCCGCAGGAAGCGAAGGGGAGCACGUGCCUCUCUUGCGCCAACUCCUUUCUCCCAUGUAUGCCAGUACGCCCACCUACAC